ACUCAAAGGAAUUGACGGGGACCCGCACAAGCGGUGGAGCAUGUGGUUUAAUUCGAUGCAACGCGAAGAACCUUACCUGGUCUUGACAUCCUGCGAUCUUUCUAGAGAUAGAUUGGUGCCUUCGGGAACGCAGUGACAGGUGCUGCACGGCUGUCGUCAGCUCGUGUUGUGAAAUGUUGGGUUAAGUCCCGCAACGAGCGCAACCCCUAUUGAUAGUUACCAUCAUUAAGUUGGGUACUCUAUUGAGACUGCCGCUGACAAGGCGGAGGAAGGUGGGGACGACGUCAAGUCAUCAUGGCCUUUACGACCAGGGCUACACACGUGCUACAAUGGGUAUUACAGAGGGCUGCGAAGGAGCGAUCUGGAGCGAAACUCAAAAAGGUACUCUUAGUCCGGAUUGCAGUCUGCAACUCGACUGCAUGAAGUCGGAAUCGCUAGUAAUCGCAGGUCAGAAUACUGCGGUGAAUACGUUCUCGGGUCUUGUACACACCGCCCGUCACACCAUGGGAGUGGGUUGCUCCAGAAGUAGAUAGCUUAACGAAUGGGCGUUUACCACGGAGUGAUUCAUGACUGGGGUGAAGUCGUAACAAGGUAACCGUA
rnacentral:rRNA from 1 species